rnacentral:rRNA from 1 species
GUAGGUGAACCUGCGGAAGGAUCAUUAAUGAAACUUCAAAGUCGGCCAAAGGUUGUUGCUGGUGAUUAUUCACAUGUGCACGCCUUUGGUCGCAAAUCCACACACACCUGUGCAUCUAUGACUCGAGGUUGUAAUGACUGAGAGUAACUUUUACACACUCUUGUAUGUAAUGGAAUGUCUUUUUGUGCUAUAAUGUACAAUAUAAACAACUUUCAACAACGGAUCUCUUGGCUCUCGCAUCGAUGAAGAACGCAGCGAAAUGCGAUAAGUAAUGUGAAUUGCAGAAUUCAGUGAAUCAUCGAAUCUUUGAACGCACCUUGCACCCUUUGGUAUUCCGAAGGGUACGCCCGUUUGAGUGUCAUUGUAAUCUCACUUCUACAACUUUAUUGUUGUUUGAAUGUGGACUUGGAUGUUGCCGUUUUAUCACGGCUCGUCUCAAAUGCCUGAGUGUACCCUGUUUUGCAGCGUAUCCAGUGUAAUAAACAUUUCACUAGAGUUGGUCSAAAGACCGCGUUGACUAURUGGGCUCUAUGCUUCAAACCGUCUGCYAUGUGGACAAUUUCUUGACAAUUUGACCUCAAAUCGGGUGGGACUACCCGCUGAACUUAAGCAUAUCAAUAAGCGGAGGAAAAGAAACUAACAAGGAUUCCCCUAGUAACGGCGAGUGAAGAGGGAAAAGCUCAAAUUUUAAAUCUGGUGUCUUUGACUCCCGAGUUGUAAUCUAGAGAAGUGUUUUCCGUGUCGGACCGUGUACAAGUUCCCUGGAACGGGGCGUCAUAGAGGGUGAGAAUCCCGUAUAUGCCACGGACUACCGAUGCUCUGUGAUACACUCUCAACGAGUCGAGUUGUUUGGGAAUGCAGCUCAAAAUGGGUGGUAAAUUCCAUCUAAAGCUAAAUAUUGGCGAGAGACCGAUAGCGAACAAGUACCGUGAGGGAAAGAUGAAAAGCACUUUGGAAAGAGAGUGAAACAGUACGUGAAAUUGUUGAAAGGGAAGCGUUUGAAGUCAGUCGCAUCUGUUGGGGUUCAGCCUGGCUUUUGCCUGGUGUAUUUCCUUUCCGAUGGGUCAGCAUCAGUUUCGACCGAGGGAAAAAGACAUUUGGAAUGUGGCUGUCUUYGGGCAGUGUUAUAGCCUUGUGUUGUAUGUCUCGGUUGGGACUGAGGAUUGCAGCGCGCC